rnacentral:rRNA from 1 species
AUUGAACGCUGGCGGCAUGCCUUACACAUGCAAGUCGAACGGUAACAGGUUAAGCUGACGAGUGGCGAACGGGUGAGUAAUGUAUCGGAACGUGCCCAGUCGUGGGGGAUAACUACUCGAAAGAGUGGCUAAUACCGCAUACGACCUGAGGGCGAAAGCGGGGGACCGUAAGGCCUCGCGCGAUUGGAGCGGCCGAUAUCAGAUUAGCUAGUUGGUGGGGUAAAAGCCCACCAAGGCGACGAUCUGUAGCUGGUCUGAGAGGACGACCAGCCACACUGGGACUGAGACACGGCCCAGACUCCUACGGGAGGCAGCAGUGGGGAAUUUUGGACAAUGGACGCAAGUCUGAUCCAGCCAUGCCGCGUGCGGGAAGAAGGCCUUCGGGUUGUAAACCGCUUUCGUCAGGGAAGAAACGAGUUUCUCUAAUACAGAGACUUAAUGACGGUACCUGAAGAAUAAGCACCGGCUAACUACGUGCCAGCCGCCGCAGUAAAAC